rnacentral:rRNA from 1 species
UUCCGGUUGAUCCCGCCGGAGGUCACUGCUAUUGGGAUUCGACUAAGCCAUGCGAGUCGAGAGGGUUCGGCCCUCGGCUGACGGCUCAGUAACACGUGGAUAAUUAGCCCUUAGGUGGAGGAUAAUCUCGGGAAACUGAGGAUAAUACUCCAUAGAUCUAGGAUGCUGGAAUGCAUUUAGAUUGAAAGCUCCGGCGCCUAAGGAUGAGUCUGCGGACUAUCAGGUUGUAGUCAGGAUAAAGACCUGACUAGCCUAUGACGGAUACGGGUUGUGAGAGCAACAACCCGGAGACGAUAUCUGAGACACGAUAUCGGGCCCUACGGGGCGCAGCAGGCGCGAAAACUUCACACUGUGCGAAAGCGCGAUGAGGGAAUCCCAAGUGCUUACUCGUAAGAGUAAGCUGUUUCUUUGUCUAAAAAGCAGAGAGAGUAAGGGCUGGGUAAGACGGGUGCCAGCCGCCGCGGUAAUACCUGCAGCUCAAGUGGUGAUCAUUAUUAUUGGGCCUAAAACGUCCGUAGCCGGUUUAGUAAAUGCCUGGGUAAAUCGUGUAGCCUAACUAUACGAAUUCCGGGUAGACUGCUAAACUUGAGACCGGGUGAGGCUAGAGGUACUCCUGGGGUAGAGGUGAAAUUCUGUAAUCCUAGGGGGACCACCAGUGGCGAAGGCGUCUAGCUAGAACGGGUCUGACGGUGAGGGACGAAGCCCUGGGGCGCAAACCGGAUUAGAUACCCGGGUAGUCCAGGGUGUAAACGCUGCUUGCUUGAUGUUAGUUGGGCUCCGAGCCCAACUAGUGUCGGAGAGAAGUUGUUAAGCAAGCUGCCUGGGAAGUACGGUCGCAAGGCUGAAACUUAAAGGAAUUGGCGGGGGAGCACAGCAACGGGUGGAGCGUGCGGUUUAAUUGGACUCAACGC